rnacentral:rRNA from 1 species
GAUGAACGCUGGCGGCGUGCCUAAUACAUGCAAGUCGAGCGAACGGACGAGAAGCUUGCUCCUCUGCUGUUAGCGGCGGACGGGUGAGUAACACGUGGAUAACCUACCUAUAAGACUGGGAUAACUUCGGGAAACCGGAGCUAAUACCGGAUAAUAUUUUGAACCGCAUGGUUCAAAAGUGAAAGACGGUCUUGCUGUCACUUAUAGAUGGAUCCGCGCUGCAUUAGCUAGUUGGUAAGGUAACGGCUUACCAAGGCAACGAUGCAUAGCCGACCUGAGAGGAUGAUCGGCCACACUGGAACUGAGACACGGUCCAGACUCCUACGGGAGGCAGCAGUAGGGAAUCUUCCGCAAUGGGCGAAAGCCUGACGGAGCAACGCCGCGUGAGUGAUGAAGGUCUUCGGAUCGUAAAACUCUGUUAUUAGGGAAGAACAUAUGUGUAAGUAACUGUGCACAUCUUGACGGUACCUAAUCAGAAAGCCACGGCUAACUACGUG